AUUGGCUUAAAUGAAAGCUAGUGUAGCAACUUGGCAACUAUGCCAAAGAGUAAAGCAAGGGUUUCAAAAGUAGGAAACAAUUUUGAUUCUUUAUGUUGGGUCUAGAUCCCUCUACUUUUGUCUAGCUCCAAUCCUUCAAAAGAGUAGUAGAACUGAAAUAUCACUAAGAAGCAUAAAAUGGAACUCUUAAUAGUCGUAUGAUUUUUUUAUUGUGGUAUUUGGUAUGUUAAGAUAUGGACAAUCUUUCUCUUGUCAAGGUUUAAUGUCAAGACUCACCCCGAAUUUCAUCCUGAAACUCGAGGUAAGUCCUGCGAGGUCCACCUCCAAGGAAAAUUUACCGAAAAUUCGGCAUAAUUUACCUUGAAAAUGGACAACCCUUACCUGAAAAAUUCCAUAUACACUUCUAUAAUAAACCAUCCAAUCUCAACUCCUGGAGCCUUCCUGCUCCCCAAGUUCAUAAUAUCUCCCAUAAUACAACUAGCUUUAAUCAAAUACUAACUAUCUCAAAUGGUUAUCAGAGCAUAUCUAUAAUGAAAUAAAAACAAUGAAUAAAGAAUAAGCGGAAGCAGCCUUUGACUAUGCCUCGACUCCAUGUACGCUCGACCUCAUUUAAACUUAGUCUGCAAACUGAGCAUUUAAAACCAAAGGGCUCAGGGGAAAAUAAUUCGAAACGUUAGAGUGAGUGAACAAAAAAUAAAAUAAAUAACUUAACAAAAAUAUAAUUUAUAUACUUUUCCAUGUUUCAACUUUAAAACUUGGUUGCACGCAACUUUGAACGUCCUUAAAACUUUAAAUCCAAAUUCACUUAAUAAUGGAUAAACCAGCCCCGUUGGUUAAAUAAAACAGAAAUCUCAAAAUGAGGGAUAAACCAGCCCUGCUGGUUAAUCAAUUAUUUAACUGAGAAAAAUAAAUAAGGGGAAGAGUUAUCACCAUGUAAAAGGAGCCUCCAAGGACUAAGUGCUAGUUAUGGAAGUUGUUGUGCAUGUUGAGAGGAUUGUUGUGUUAAAAUUUGGGAAGCGUUAGAGGUCGCCAGACUACGGCUGCCGGUCGCCGCUGCCCGCGGAGUAGGCGGCGGCGCCUCCCCUUAAGGGUGGUUUUAUAUGUUUUUGAGCUUGUUUUAAUGAGAGGAGUUUAAUGAUAUGAAGUUUGGAAUUUUUGGAGGAGUUUUGGUUAGGUUUGGGAUUUUUCAAAGAUUGAGAAUUUUGGUGGUUGUUAGAAUGAAAAUCGGGCCGUUGGAUUUCCUUGGUAUUUAUUCUGGAAUGUUAGAAUCGAUGAAUUAAGGUUGUGGUGGAGUUUGGUGGGAAUCCGGUGAGCUUAACCCUAGUGAGGGUUGUGAGAUAAGCGGAAGAGUUUUGGUGUCUAUAUUUAAGUAUUUAUUUUUUGAAAUUGAAGUUUGGUUCUAAGCAUGGUUAUUGUGCCAGGAUAUGAAGGGAACCUCGUGUGAGUGGCGAUGCGGAUAUCGUCGGGCCUAAAUUUGUGAGUGGACAUUUUGGUUUUUAAUUAAUAUGCAUGCAUGAUUUUAUAAGUUGCCCAUUAUAUUUUCCAAGCUUAAAUUGUAAUUUCGGCUUAUGAAAUAGUCUUUGAAUUUAUUUGAUUUUGAUGCAUUGAUUAAUGUUUGCCAUGAGUUAUGGAAUUUAUCUGAGAUUGACAUAUUGGUUAUGUUUUCGAUAAUGAACUUAUGGAUUUGAGCUUGGGUUAGAGAUUUGGUAUUUGAGUUUUAAUAUUCUUAAUGAUUUCCGGAUUUGAGAUUAUAUCCAGAUUUGCAUAUUGCCUGGUUUUCGAAAGAUGAUAAUUAUUUAAGUUAAUUAUUUCUUUGAGCAUUUUAACAUGUGGGACACGUUGAAUUUAAUUAAUUUCUUUGCUCUUUGAAUUCUAUGAGUACGGUUGGGAAUCGUACUUAUGUUUUAGUUAUGAGUUUCGGGGAAACUCACAUGGAUUUAUGUUUCUUUAUUUAUGCCAUACUUAUCGGAUAAUAUAUUACUAAUGCUAGCAUGUUGUUUCGUCUUUCGAGGUGAUGUGGUUUCCACGUUUUAAGUGGGGUUACUUAAACCCUUUCCGCCUUCGGGUGAUGUGAUGUAGUCGAUGACAUCACGCAAGCCCUGCACCCUCUCUGUUAUCAUAACGUGAAGGUGUAGGGAGUAUGGGAGUACUUUUUCCUGGGAAGCACCCGAGCUUGGGAGGCUCACUUGUAUGGCUAUAGCUGCUUCUUAUUUAAUAUUUAUUGUUUUUGACUAGCGGGGCUAGUCCAUUAUUUUGGUACUUUCUUUUACGAAGGUUAUUAUUUAUCUUUGUCGUUAAUUUGACUAGCAGGGCUAGUCCGUUUUAUUGGGAUUUUCUUUAUGAAAGUUUUAUCAACACUUGCAUGCAACGGAUUUCUUGAUUAUUGGAAAAUGGGAAAGUAAUUAAGUUUGGUUAGUUAUGUUGUGAUCAGUUACUUGAUUAUUUUUCGUCCACUCACUCUAACGUUUUUAAUUUACUUUCCCCUGAGCCCUUUGGUUUUAAAUACCCAGUUUGCAGGCUAAGUUUAAAUGAGGUCUAGAGUACAUGAAGUCGAGGCAUAGUCAGAGGCUGCUUCCGUUUAAUCUUUAUUCAUUGUUAUUAUUUCAUUAUUAGAUAUGCUCUGGUAACCAGUUAGUGAAUUAUUGUCUGUUGUUGGUUGUGGGAUUAUUUUAGAUGAGUAUUCGUUUUAUUGGGAGGUGUGUUGAGCUUGAGGAGCAGGAAGGCUCCAGGUGUUGAGGCUGGUAUGUUUGGUUAUAGAAGUGUAAGUUGAAUUUUUCAGGUAAGGGUUGUCUAUUUUCAAGGAAGUUAUGUCGAAUUUUCGAUAAAUUCUCCUUGAAGGUGGACCCCGCAGGGUUUACCUCGGGUUUCAGGAUGAAAUUCGGGGUGGGUCCUGUCAUAGCAUCAUCAUUAGAUUUAACAAUGAUCCCUGACCAUGACACAACAACCAGUUUUUCAACAGUUUGAAAUUUUCAGCAAAUCGACCAAAAUUUCAAACAUUAAAAAUUAUAGUUUCCGCCCUCCAAAAUCACAAGAUCGUUAGAAAAAUGGAGCGUUUCGGCUAUCUAAAACUGAAGCAAAGCCAACUUAGGUAUAGCCAAAACACGUUACAUCUAAAACUCUUAUUAUCCUUAGCAAACAAACUUUGGUCACGCUAUCAGAACCCAAAAGUCCAAGACUUGUAUCAACUAACCUAAACAAUGCCGCUUGAACAUUACUAUGGGCACCCAACCUCACUUCUCUAAACAAUCCCUGCGUCUUCAGUUAUGUCAUACACUGAAUUAUUCCUCAACUCCUUUGGCUCCCAACAUACACACAUUUCAAAAUAAAGAACUCCUUUCUGAACAACCACACCGCACCUAAAUUUCUAACUUUUCUAGUGACCAAGGUCACUUGAUAUUAGAGUUACCUAGAACUCUCAAAAUUCUCAACACGAUUCUUCACUUCUCCCCUUGUAACCGAAAUACUCAAGAAUAAGAAUGAGUUGGUCCAGGGACUAGCGGGUACUAAACUUCUACACUAUAACUAGGCGUCCAAAGCAAAUAGCUACAUUCUCAUGUCGCCACUUGAUUUACCAAGUUCAGUCAUCAUGAAUCAAAUUCUCCAUCUGUUGCUGUAAGCCGGAGCAGCCACAACCAUCUCGCAUCCGCUUUACUAUUACAAUUUCAAAGCCCAUUAGACUUACAAUCCAUCUAAAACACUCAACAAAAGUAGGAGAGCGAAUCCCACAUUACAGAUACCAAACCUAAAUCGACCAAUAACAAUUACAGAAAUCGAACUUCAAUGCAUAACCAAACUUUAAUAGCCCCAUUUAACACAUCCAAUAACCUCCACAAUUUAAUUAACUCAAGCAAUAUCACUUUACUAUUUAUCUCAAAGCAAAACAACACACUUGCUUAACUCCCUUAUAAUAUCUCUUAUUCCAAUACCAACCUUAACUAGAAAUUGCUCAAUCCUUCGUUCACAAGCAUGCCCUUUCUAUUAUUAAUAUCCGCAAAAAGGCUCAACUCGCCACUUAAAUAAAAGUCUACAACUCAAUAAAUAAAUAAUAGAACACUGCAAAUCCAGGUCACUUCACCAACUCAUAACUGAACACAAAAUCUCACAAAUCACUUACCUUCCCCUUACUCGGAAAAUAACCAAGAUAUUCUUUGAGGUCGACGUACGGAGGAAUAGUCUUGAAGAUAUAGACAUUUAUGGCACAAUACUGUCCAUAAAUAAGACAAGAACAACUACCUCACAUACCUAAUAAACACAUAGCAUCUGAUGCAUAUAAUGCUAAUGGAUCCGCCGCGGUCGGACCAUCACUCUAUAGACACUAAGUAUCACCAAGUAUAUGAGGUAGUGAUACGAUUCGGAUAACCUAAGCUCUGAUACCAACUGUCAAGACCCACCCCGAAUUUCACCCUGAAACCCGAGGUAAGUCCUUCGGGGUCCACCUCCAAGGAAAAUUUACCGAAAAUUCGACAUAAUUUAUUUUGAAAAUGGACAACCCUUACCUGAAAAAUUCCAAAUACACUUCUAUAAUAAACCAUCCAAUCUCAACUCCUGGAACCUUCCUGCUCCCCAAGUUCAUAACCUCUCCCAUAAUACAACUAGCUUUAAUCAAAUACUAACUAUCCCAAAUGGUUAUCAGAGCAUAUCUAUAAUGAAAUAAAAACAAUGAAUAAAGAAUAAGCGGAAGCAGCCUCUGACUAUGCCUCGACUCCAUGUACGCUCGACCUCAUUUAAACUUAGCCUGCAAACUGGCCAUUUAAAACCAAAGGGCCCAGGGGAAAGUAAUUUGAAACGUUAGAAUUAGUGGACAAAAAAUAAAUUAAAUAACUUAACAAAAACAUAAUUUAUAUACUUUCCCAUGUUUCAACUUUAAAACUUGGUUGCACGCAACUUUGAACGUCCUUAAAACUUUAAAUCUAAAUUCACUUAAUAAUUGAUAAACCAGCCCCGCUGGUUAAAUAAAACAGAAAUCUCAAAAUGAGAGAUAAACCAGCCCCGCUAGUUAAUCAAUUGUUUAACUGAGAAAAAUAAAUAAGGGGAAGAGUUAUCACCAUGUAACUGAGAAAUUAUAAUAAAACUCAAUGACGUGUUUCACAUGUCAAAAUUUCUCAAAUUUAUAAAUAUAAGCGAGAUUUCAAUAUCAAAUAUAAAUCAUAAAUAAUAAUUUCUCCACUCGAAAAUACUCGCUAAAAUAUUCUCAAAGUCAAAAUCAUUAUGCCUCAAACAAACAAUUAAAUUAUGAUGGAGAACUACCGAAAAUCCUAUUUUCGGUAAUCAUUUAUAAAUCUCAAAGUCAUCAAAAUAAAACCGAUAAUAUUUAAAUCCGGAAUUUAUAAAGAAUAUCCAAACUCAAAUAUCAAAAUAAUAAUCCGAGCUCAAAUCCAUAAAUCAUGACCAACACUUGGUCAAAGCCUCAAACUCAAUAAAUUCAAGACCAUAACAUAAACCGAAAUUUUAAGAUAAGCUCGGUAAAUAAAGUAAUAAAUUAUAAAAUCUUGCAUGCUUAUUUAUUAAAAUCAAAGUGUCCACUCACAGUAUACGGCUAUGCCUGCUGUCGAUCCGAGGUCUCCCAACACUAUCCUCCUCACGUCCUGAACAAUAAAUAAUAUUAAGUCUCCAGACUAGAUUAGACCUUAAAUAAAUAUUUCUGAAAUAAAAAAGAAGCCUAUAAUUUCAUCUCCCUUACCCAACUUCUCCACUUUCAAUCUAAUAAGGCUCACAUUACUCCGCAAUUACCGAUAGCCAUAAAUUAACCAUUUUAGAAUUUAAAACUUGCUAAACCAACUGCCGAAAUUCCAUUCUAAUAACCGCCACAAUUCUUAACCAUUGAAAAAAUCCCAAACCUUAUCAAAACUCCUCCAAAAAUUCCACACUUUACUUCAUUAAACCCCUCUUAUUAAAACCCAUCUCAAAAACAUGAAAAACUGUCCUUAAGGGGCGGUGGCUGGCAGCCGUACUCUAGCGAUCUCCAAUGCUUCCCAAAUUUUAGCACAACAAUCCUCUCAACCCGCACAACAACUUCCUUAACUAUAACAAAAUCCAUUUCUAAGCCUAACUAGGUUAAUCGAACCAAAACCUUAAAUUGAGCCAAUUCCUUUUGAUGGAUUACUAACCUUGAUGAGAGCUUCAAGAUGAGCCAAAAAUCCCGAGCUAUGGUGGCCGGAGGAGGGAGCUCCGACGAAGGGGCAGUCGGGUCUUUAGGGGAGUUUUCCUCCUAUCUGACGGCGUCGCCGACUUGGACACUAGCCCAGGUAGCAAGAGGAGAUGACGGGGGUCCGAACGGAGCUGGUCCGGUGGUCUAUGGUGGCUAGAUGGCGGCGGACAGAGGCUGGGUCUCCAGCGGGUCAGGAAGAGUUCACGGGAGAGAGAGAAAAGGAAUAGGGAGAGAGAGAGAGAGAGAGAGAGAGAGAGAGAGAGAGAGAAGAAGAGAGAGAGAGGAGGAGUGGUGGGUGGGUGGUUGUGUUGGGCUUCUCCACACCUACCCGGUCCAACUUAAACACCAAAAAAAAUAAAAAUAAAACCCACUAAAUUUUACCCCCUUUUUACCAACUGAAAAAUUUACCCUGUUAGUUGAUAACUUUUUCAUGCUAACUCCGAUUUUAACGUAUAGCAUGUCUAUGAACUCGUAUUAACGUCCUCCACAACUUCCUUAAAGAAAUUUUUCCAAAAUAACUUUCCUACAUAAAGUCAACUAUAGGGUCCUUAACGGUAAACGGUUACUCAACACGGUAAAAGACCAAAAUGAUACUAAAAGUAAAUAACCAUAAAACAACUUAAGAACCGGGGUGUGACAUUUAAUCUCAUUUCCAAGUUCAAUGAUCAGAUUUUUCACAUAUUUGAAGUCUUCUUAAACUGUAGUGUUUGGCUUUUUUUUGGGUUAUAUAGCAACCACCCAGUACAUUAGUUGUUACAGAAACCACAUGAAUGAUGCUCUAUGUUUGCUAUAUUAAAUUCAGUUUACCCUAUUGUGGUUUUGAGGUGAAUUCAUGUUAGUCCCUAAAC
rnacentral:lncRNA from 1 species